CAAACAGAACAUCAGCAAAACAAGUUUCAUAACCAUUCUGAUCACUAACAGGUCACACAGAGAACAAAUAUGGCUUCAGUCUUGCUCUUUAUAUUCUCAGGUAUAAAAACCAAAUAUUACAUCAAAUAUGCAA